GUCCACGCUGUAAACGAUGAGUGCUAGGUGUAGAGGGUAUCGACCCCUUCUGUGCCGCAGUUAACACAAUAAGCACUCCGCCUGGGGAGUACGGCCGCAAGGUUGAAACUCAAAGGAAUUGACGGGGGCCCGCACAAGCGGUGGAGCAUGUGGUUUAAUUCGACGCAACGCGAAGAACCUUACCAGGGCUUGACAUCCUACGAAUCCUAAGGAAACUUGGGAGUGCCUUUCGGGGAACGUAGAGACAGGUGGUGCAUGGUUGUCGU
rnacentral:rRNA from 1 species